rnacentral:rRNA from 1 species
AUGGACGAAAGUCUGACGGAGCAACGCCGCGUGAGUGAUGAAGGUUUUCGGAUCGUAAAGCUCUGUUGUUAGGGAAGAACAAGUACCGUUCGAAUAGGGCGGUACCUUGACGGUACCUAACCAGAAAGCCACGGCUAACUACGUGCCAGCAGCCGCGGUAAUACGUAGGUGGCAAGCGUUGUCCGGAAUUAUUGGGCGUAAAGGGCUCGCAGGCGGUUUCUUAAGUCUGAUGUGAAAGCCCCCGGCUCAACCGGGGAGGGUCAUUGGAAACUGGGGAACUUGAGUGCAGAAGAGGAGAGUGGAAUUCCACGUGUAGCGGUGAAAUGCGUAGAGAUGUGGAGGAACACCAGUGGCGAAGGCGACUCUCUGGUCUGUAACUGACGCUGAGGAGCGAAAGCGUGGGGAGCGAACAGGAUUAGAUACCCUGGUAGUCCACGCCGUAAACGAUGAGUGCUAAGUGUUAGGGGGUUUCCGCCCCUUAGUGCUGCAGCUAACGCAUUAAGCACUCCGCCUGGGGAGUACGGUCGCAAGACUGAAACUCAAAGGAAUUGACGGGGGCCCGCACAAGCGGUGGAGCAUGUGGUUUAAUUCGAAGCAACGCGAAGAACCUUACCAGGUCUUGACAUCCUCUGACAAUCCUAGAGAUAGGACGUCCCCUUCGGGGGCAGAGUGACAGGUGGUGCAUGGUUG